CCUACGGGUGGCAGCAGUGGGGAAUAUUGCGCAAUGGGCGAAAGCCUGACGCAGCGACGCCGCGUGAGGGAUGAAGGUCUUCGGAUCGUAAACCUCUGUCAGCAGGGAAGAACGGUCACUGUGCUAAUCAGCAGUGAAUUGACGGUACCUGCAAAGGAAGCACCGGCUAACUCCGUGCCAGCAGCCGCGGUAAUACGGAGGGUGCGAGCGUUAAUCGGAAUUACUGGGCGUAAAGCGUUCGUAGGCGGUAGGUCAAGUCAAGGGGGAAAUCCCCGCGCUCAACGUGGGAACUGACUUUGAAACUGGCAAACUGGAGUGUGUGAGAGGAUAGUGGAAUUCCAGGUGUAGGAGUGAAAUCCGUAGAUAUCUGGAGGAACAUCAGUGGCGAAGGCGACUAUCUGGCACAUAACUGACGCUGAGGAGCGAAAGCGUGGGUAGCAAACAGGAUUAGAUACCCCUGUAGUC
rnacentral:rRNA from 1 species